rnacentral:lncRNA from 1 species
GGAGAUCAAGAUGUGAUCUUGUUUGUAUGCAAAGAUGCAAAUGGUAUGUGGGAUCUUAGGGUUAAAAAUUAGGGUAUGACAAAUGCCCCUAUGCAAAUGGUAUUGAGGAGACUUAAAUAUAGAAAACCCAAAUUUGGCCCUAAGAUACUGUAAAAUGCUUAUGAUAUGAUAUGAUAUGAAUGCAUACGAGGAUCUCCGUGGGGAAUAUAG